rnacentral:rRNA from 1 species
UACGGGGGGAGCAAGCGUUGUUCGGAUUUACUGGGCGUAAAGGGCGCGUAGGCGGUCGUGACAAGUCACUUGUGAAAUCUCAGGGCUCAACCCUGAAACUGCAUUCGAUACUGCGUGGCUAGAGUGCUGGAGGGGAGACUGGAAUUUACGGUGUAGCAGUGAAAUGCGUAGAUAUCGUAAGGAAGACCAGUGGCGAAGGCGAGUCUCUGGACAGCAACUGACGCUGAGGCACGAAGGCCAGGGGAGCAAACGGG